UCGCGUAUUUCUUCUUGGAGGGUCAAGUGUACCCUAAGCUGAAACGAUUUGUUCCGUCGCUGCUGACAACACCUGGGAGCAUCACCAAGUCAUGGGCCAGGUUGAUACCACGCACUCAAGCAUUAGUACAAACGCUGCAGUCGCAGGGAGUCGUGUCCAAAUACAAACUGCUAGAAAUCUGGGGUUCGGAUAAAAAAUUUCUGUUGUCAGCUUACCAGAAGUGGCUGCCGGAAUCCGCGCACGCAGAAGUGGCACAGAUAUGGGCAC